rnacentral:rRNA from 1 species
UUUUAAUUGAAGGCUUGUAUGAAGGGUUGGACAAGGGAUAAGCUGUCUUUAUUUUUGUUUUGAAUUUGUCUUUUAAGUGAAAAGACUUAAAUUAUUUUAAGGGACGAUAAGACCCUAUAAAUCUUUAUAUUGAAAAUAUUCUUAUUUUAAUUUUUAAUGUAGAUGAGAGUAGGUUUACAAGAUAUUAUAUUGGGGUGAUAAGAAUAAUUAAUAAACUGUUCUAUGAAAAACAAGGUUGUUUGAUAAAAUAGUAGAUCCUUUUUAGAGAUUAGAAGUUUAAGUUACUUUAGGGAUAACAGCGUUAUUUUUUUUGAGAGUUCUAAUCGAAGAAAAAGUUUGCGACCUCGAUGUUGAAUUAAAAUUUCUUUAUGGUGUAGCUGUUAUAAGAGAAAGUCUGUUCGACUUUUAAAAUUUUACGUGAUCU